UACGUAGGGCGCAAGCGUUUGUCCGGAAUUAUUGGGCGUAAAGAGCUCGUAGGCGGUUUGUCGCGUCUGCUGUGAAAACUCGAGGCUCAACCUCGGGCUUGCAGUGGGUACGGGGCAGACUAGAGUGCGGUAGGGGUGACUGGAAGUUCCUGGUGAUAGCGGUGGAAUGCGCAGAUAGUCAGGAGGAACACCCGAGUGGCG
rnacentral:rRNA from 1 species